rnacentral:lncRNA from 1 species
UAUGAUUGGUCAGUAAUUCACUGUAACUGUAUGCCUGUGCAGCUUAUAAUCAAGUUAUAACUGGGAAAGGCCUGGGAAAUCAUCUGGCCCAACCCUCUGUGUUUACAAAUAAGGACCUAAGGACACCCUUCCCAAGGUCAUGUGACUUGGGAACACACAAAGACAAAGCAGACAUUCGGCUUGAUUUACUCAGGUGGAGGGGAGACACCAAGAACGUGCCAGACACAUUUCGUUCAGCGGCAAGCUGAUCACCUCUUCACCGCUAACGCCCCUCAGUGAAGAACAACCGGAAGAAUUUUCUUUUUUUUUUUUAAUUUUUUUUCAACGUUUUUAUUUAUUUUUGAGAGAGAGAAAGAGAAA